AUCCGUGAGGGAAGAUGGUUCAAAGAGGAAAUGGACAAAGAAUAGAAAGAAAGGUUGGAAUAGAAAAGGUUCCGGUUUGUCUUACACAAAACUGCAAAAAAGCUUUGUUUAAUGAAAAGCGGGAAAAUCGCAACCGUCACCUGAAAGAAAAAAAAAACACCACAACAAGAAAGUGGAGCAACAAGUUGCUCGAGAUUUGGCAGACAUCAGAGGUCAAUACUUCAUUAAUGUCCGAUUAACGUCCUCCAGCUGAUUAAUUCAAUUGAGCCCUUUAUUACUCCGUGUGCAUUAAUGUCUGUGGGCAGCGAUGCGUCGGGUUCCUCGGUUAUUUGAGUUGAAUUCUGCUGCUGAAACUAAAAGACACCACAGGCUUGGGAAGAAAAAUAAUUCUUCAAAAUCAUUAAAUAAACCGUGAAACGUUCCAGCGCUACAAAGUGUUUCGCUGUAGUCCAGUUUAAACAUCCACAGAAGCAGGAAAUGGACCAGAAUGCAGCGCAGGUUGGGUUCAUCCAGAUGUUCUCAGUGGUGAAAAGAGGUUUUCCAAAAGUACUGUUCUUAAGUACAAUUUUGAGGUACUUAAGUUGAGCAUUUGAAUUUAAUCCUUGUUUAUUUUUUGUUUGUUUUCUUUUUUAGUAUUGUGUCAUCUUUAAGGAUUGUAUUACUAAAUUUAUAUUAAGUUUAAAUAAAGUCAUUUAUAUUUUUGUCCUGUGAUGUUUUCCUUUUACAGAACACCCCUUAAAGUUAGUAAGAAAAAAGAAAAGAGGUAAAUUGACUACACUAAACAAGUAGUUUACAUUUAUUCAUACUCUGUAACCAGUGACCGUAACUGGCUCUGAAAAACACUCAGGAAACACACAGCCAGCACGCAAACAAGCAAAGUAAACACAACUCCACACGGCAAAUAAAAUAAAGAAUUUACAAGACCAGCAGCGUGAGAGUAUCUGAGGAGGAUUCUUCCUUUAAUCCCGUGAUCAGUUGGCGCCAGUGUUUCUUCUUUUACCCCGAUGAUGUAAACCCUUGGAACACACACACACACACACACACACACACAGGCUCACUCAGACACACUACAGCUGUUACAGUUGGCACACAGUAUCCGUUGUGUUUUCCCUGGUAGGCAACAGCAGCCACUCGACAUGAGAUGCCGCUUCGCCCUUUCGCCCCUUCGGUACGAUGACCUCCGCGUCGCAGUCCUUUAUCCAGCCGCUCUCCUGUUUUCCGCCACGCAGCGUGAAUUUGAAAACCAGCGGCCAGUCGAAGCACGCGAGGUCUCCCCCGAGGUCGAGCGAGGGCCGAUCCUCUCGAGUGGCUCUUUAGUUUACAGGCUGAAUGCUGCAAAACGAGGACUUGAAAGAUGCUCGUGACAAUAUUAAUGUAACAAAUUUACACUUUUAAAAUGUUCCAAUGGCCCGUCAGCCACGUCAGCCACUUGUUUGUGCUGUUUGGAGCUUAUAAAGCUUACUAAAGUGUAGCUAUGUAAAACCUUUUUAAAUGUACACAGUCCUCUCAGACAGUUGACUGGUCACAAUCCAGCUUUGGUGACUGUAGAUUCCACACUUUUAAAAAGUUGCUUUUAAAAUACUGAAAUCAUGAAGGUAUUUGUCAAGCAGCCACAACAGCUUUCUGAAAAAGCCACGUGGAUUCGGAUCAACAGCACAAUUCUAAAAAGUCUAUUAAUUGCUUUUGUGUGUGUGUGUGUGUGUGUGCGUUGUGUCUCUCAGGUGCUGAUCAGAGUACUCAGCUGAAGGUUGCCUCUCACCCGGAGCUCCCCCCUCCCUCCCCUCCCUCCCCCCAUCCCCUGUGUCUCGCUGCCUUGGCCUCCAGUCCGGGUUUGAAUCAUUUAAUUAUCCACACUUCUUCUUUUUGUGACGAGGCUUGUAGGUGCACGGCCUCCUUUAAUUGAAUGACCUUCUGUGUAAUUACUGUCUUUGUGAGUGCGCGGGAGAUGGAACGGAUAUCCCCGUCUCCGCCGAAACGUAGCUAAGCAACAAACGGCGUGGACGUGCUAAGUGACUCCGAUGUAAGUUUGCAUGUAGGCGUCUGAUCUUUGAGCGUGCUUAUAGAAUUAUCAAAGGCCGAGUCCUUCCGCUGUGUUUGAAGCUUUUUUUUCUUCUAAAUGAAGCGACCAUUCGGCUCCUUGCAAAAGGCAGCGACAGGUUAUCAGGGUGAGGCAGCGAAUGUCAGGCUACGAAUAACGCCGUCACCAACGUGUAGCCCUGCGUACUGUCUGCUGACAGUGCCGGUUUUAUUUAAUGCCGUCGGCUGGUUUCAAAGAGAGCAACAUAAUGGCUUCGGCUCCAUCACAAAGGUGAGGUACAAACUUUUUAGUAAAUGCCUAACGAGCUCUUGUUUAAACCCCCGGACAAUAACAAACACCGUAGCUUUGCCUCACAGACCAUCUUUAACCGGUUUCCACACGGAGCCGGUGGGCCGACCGCUGUCUGAAUGACCUUCAUUCACCCCCGACUAUUCGGAUGCAUAUGCACUGUUUACGUGGCUGCUUUUUAAUGCACGUGGGGUAAAAGGUUUGCUGAUAUUUUGAUGCUACAAGCAGGAGCUCGGACGAAGGGAUCUUCGGUAGUUUGGGAUCUGCAACCUGAGCACAAGCUACACGGCCCUUUAGACCUGUUAGUUUAUUUAAGGAAGAGGCAUCUGCUCGCUGCCUGCAUGACGUACGCGGCUCUCCUGGACCGGCAGAGAAGGUCAAGCUGCCUUUGUUCUCUGACUAAUUAAAUCUCCAGUAAUUAUGGCGCUGCAAAGGAUGUCAGGAAUGAAAUAGAUGAGCAGCGAUUCAGAGUCGAUCUACAUGGAUGCGGACGAUAUUCGUCGCAUAUUUCGUGAAGCUACGGGGUAAUGAGGAGACCCAGCUUCAUUCACAAAGCCCCAGCUCCAAUGGUUGAAAGGGCGCUCGGCAUUGUUCUUGUUGCUAUGCAACCCACUAAUUAGCUUUAGCUGCCCUGCUGAAACAAAAGCGAAUCAGGUAAAAAAAAGAAAAUAGA
ensembl:lncRNA